CCCGGGCCUUGCACACACCGCCCGUCACGCCACGAAAGUUGGUUCUACCCGAAACCGCCGAGCUAACCGCAAGGAAGCAAGCGUCUAAGGUAGGGCCGAUGAUUGGGACG
rnacentral:rRNA from 1 species